rnacentral:rRNA from 1 species
GGCUCAGGAUGAACGCUGGCGGCGUGCUUAACACAUGCAAGUCGAACGGUGAAGCAGAGCUUGCUCUGUGGAUCGUGGCGAACGGGUGAGUAACACGUGAGCAACCUGCCCCUGACUCUGGGAUAAGCGCUGGAAACGGCGUCUAAUACUGGAUAUGAGCUGCGAUCGCAUGGUCAGCAGUUGGAAAGAUUUUUCGGUCUGGGAUGGGCUCACGGCCUAUCAGCUUGUUGGUGAGGUAAUGGCUCACCAAGGCGUCGACGGGUAGCCGGCCUGAGAGGGUGACCGGCCACACUGGGACUGAGACACGGCCCAGACUCCUACGGGAGGCAGCAGUGGGGAAUAUUGCACAAUGGGCGAAAGCCUGAUGCAGCAACGCCGCGUGAGGGAUGACGGCCUUCGGGUUGUAAACCUCUUUAGCAGGGAAGAAGCGAAA